rnacentral:lncRNA from 1 species
AGAGGUAUGGCUUCUGGAACUCCGGUCUCCUCUUGAAAGAGUGGUCGACUUGAAUGCAGGAGGAGGAAGCUUUGAUUGUUGGAAAGAAGUUGUUGGAGCAGUAAAUGUAGAUCUCCCCUUUUUCGUUUAAGAGCACUUGGAGAGCUUGAAAACUUGAAUGCUUGGAGUGGAAUAUCUGUUCUCUGCCUUGCUACAGUCCUCUGUGGCUAUUUAAGCCAACCCCCACGGAAACUAGCCGUUACUCUGCUUUUUCUGGCCGUUCUACACACUCUGCGCAGCCUGACAAUAUAACCGUUGGUGGGUUGGAGUCGACUCGCGCGAUCAGGAGUCGACUCGGCUGUAGCAGGAGUCGACUCACGCUUUUCCAGAGUCGACUCGGCAACUGUUCCAAAUUUGAAUUAAAGUUGCCGUCUUAACUGGGAGUCGACUCGUCUUGACCUGGAGUCGACUCGCCAACUUCUGGAGCUGACCUGGCAAUUUUGGAGUCGGCUCAUCCACUGAAGUCCGUGGAUCCAAUUUUGAAUUUUGUCCACUCGAGUCGACUCGACUGUCCUGGGAGUCGACUCGAAUCUCAGAGCCCGAACUCCCGAUUCUCUGUCUU